UUCUUUCUCCACCAUAGAUUGCUAUUUUCCCAUAAAAAAAAUAUCUAUGUAAAAAAAAAUGAUUAGUCUCCCCAAUCUUUUCUUCCUUGGUGGCGAUUUACACAAAAAAUAGAAACGAAAAAGAAUGAAGCCAUUAGGAGAGAAGAAGAUUUCUCUGGAAGAAUACAUUGAUUUCUCCUACUCUGGAAAGUCCAUCGACUUCACCAUCUCCUACCUCAAUCAGGUUUUUUAAAACGAUUUGAUUUCCCGUCUGAUUCUCCUCGAUCGUCAUCAGUUUCAUACCUCCAACUUGUGCCAUCUCUGUAGAUCGUUCAUAUGCACGGUUUCCGAAAGCUGCACAAAUGGAAUAAGGUGAAUACAAGAUCUUGAAAAAAUGGAAACAAAAGACAAUAUAUGCCAGAAAAAUUUGGGAGGCUCUUCCUCUUAUUCUUCAAAGUUGCGUGAGCUGGUUUCUUCAGACGGAAUCCAGACCUUAGGAAGAUGCUUCAAUCUUGGAUUACGAGAUGGGUAUUAACUAUUAAGCCAUGUUUACAAGUUUAAGACCAAAUAAAAGCUUCUUUGGGCAAAGACAACAACAAUUUUGAGAUUUCCUGCAAGGCGUUGAAGGUCAAACUUGAGAUCCUAUGACGAUGCUGGGCAACCUGUCCUUUAUUCACAAGUUUAUAUACAAAAGUUGUAUAAACUUACUUUUAUUUUAAUUAUGUACGUUUAUUUUGUAAGACUGGUCAUUUGUAUCAUGGUUUCAUUUAUGAAAAUAAUAUAAUAAACUAUUGCAUUUCUGUAA